UUUUUUUUUUUUUUUUUUUUUUUUUUUGUCAGCUUGCUAAUGAAGCUGUUGUUAUUCCUGGGAAAGGAGAAGGCAACACGCGGUGAGGGAGGCGUGCACACCGAUAACUCCCUUUCCAAUUUGUUUUCUUCCUGAAGAAAAUGGCAAAUAUCUCCAGCGAAGGAAUUGGCCAGCAGCUCUCUCUGGAUCCCCCGCUCCCGUCCUCGCCCCGUGGGGCUCCGACAGCGGCAGGGCUUCGGGAUGAGCCUCUUCAGCCCCAGGCCAACCCGCAGCACCUUCCAGCACGUUCUGUCUGAGCAUUUUCAAAGGGCUGCACGAACACUAAUUAAUUACCCGUGCUCCCUAUCCGUGCAAACGGGGACCCGGGGAUCCAUUUUACAGCUGGGGAGCUGCUUGCACGAGGAGGGCCAGGGAGUCACCGUAGUCGAGACAGAAAUCAAAAUACCAAUUUUCUCAUCUUUAAAUAUACAACCCAUUGGCCACUUUACCAUUCCAAGGGAAGGGGAGAGACAGGCUGAUGGAGAAAUUAAUUCCCUAUCUUGCAUUCAGUCUAGAGACACAAAAAGCCAAACAGAGGCAUAAGGGGCAGCUCCCCUCACAUUCACUGCCGUUUACACCAUGUCUUUAACCCUCAAAUACUUUACACAGUCAAAACACCAAGAAAGAAUUAAAAAUCAUUAUCAGGAGAGGAAAACUAAUUUGAAAAAUAUGGGAACACUCAUAGCUGCUCAACUGAGCUUUUAACCAGCUGAAGAGCCAGUUUGGUGGAGAGAAAGGAGAGGGAUGUCCCUGGUGUUCGGAACUACAAAGGAGGAGACUCCAGCAUCAAUACAGGCCAGAGUGCAGGAGACAGAGACAGAAGACAAAUAUUCAUGGGAGUCGUGGGGGUGAGGUGGGGUGGGGUGGUGUCACAGAGAUAGAUGGGGACCAGAUUUUCCAGGGCAACUGAAGAUGCAGACAGGCACCUGGCAGGAUUUUCAAAAGCAACUGAGCAAGAUAGGUACCUAAAUCCCACCGAUUUCAGUGGAUGGGAGGAUGUCUAACCUGCUUAUGCUCUUUUGAAAAUCCUAUUAAGUGCCAGCUGCAUGUUUAGGAACCCAAACACAUUUGAAAAUUUAUUGUAAGGCUCCUGGAUGGAUAAAUUUUAAGAGCAAAGUGUUGUUGUGAUGAUGUAAAGAAUUAGAAAAACAAACCCAGAUUCCCUCUCUGUCUUAAAAGGAAUCUGGUGGUUAGGAAAUAAGAGAAUACUUUCUAUUUAAAGAAACACUUUUGCAUCUUCGCAUUUAGCCUUCCUCAUUUCUAGCUCCUCUUUGUCUUUCAUAAUAAACCAACUGGAGUGAGUAGGGAUUUAAGGCAGAAAACAAGUGAUGCUGCCAGGCUCCUGACACAAGUGUGCUAGUGGCAGUGCUGGGGGGACACACAGAUGGGUGAGGGGGGGGACAGUAGUGCUGGACUAUGCAGCGAGGCAGCAGGGCUGCAGGGAACGCUGCUUGGACAGCGAUGUGUCGCUGCAAAUGCGGGGAGGCAGGAGACAACAGGCAGGCAUCCAGGAACAGCUUUGCCAUCACACUCAAAUGCAAAAUGAUGUGACUGAGGACACCGGGCAAUGUCUCUUUACUUUCAGGAGGUGCUUUGGGGCAACUCAGAUAAAGCAGUAUGUCACCCUGAAAUAGCUGUAUAUGGCAUGUACCUCAUUAAGAAUUUCAACAUUGAUGACAGAUGGAUUAUUUUUUUCCUCAGAAAUCAAGGUGAUUUUGCCAGUGUGGAUUUUCCUGUAAAUUUUGAUGCUCUCAUUUAUAUUUUUUUGAAAACUGUUAAAACAGGAUUGUUGAGGGACCACCAGACUUUCCCAUGAGUUUGCUUUAAAUAUUUAGGUAGCAGCUGUCUCUUGAUCACUGACGAACUUUAAAAUCCACUGAGUAAAAUCUCAACAAACAAUUGUGUAAAGACAGACUUUCUGAAGGAGUCCACCAAAAAAAAACCA
ensembl:lncRNA